GCAAAUGAAGGCAGUUGAUCCAUAUGUGGAAUGUUGGGACAAUUGUAUAAGUCUUUUGAUUUUCUCUCUUGCAUCUGUGUUGUGGCCUACUUGUGCUUCUAGGUCCUGUUGCUGACUACAUAUUUCCACAUCUCUCCUGGGGAAUGGAUCUCCUACUGCUUGGGCGAGUCACCACUUUGAGUGUGUUGAAUUGAUUAUAAAAGGAAGGAUUUUGACACGUGUGCUGAAAUCAUUAUCUUUUCUGCAUACUGAAACGCUUUGGAGUAAAGUGUAUUGACGUCUUCAAUUCACUUUCAAAUACAUCAAAAAUAAGUAUGAAUGCCCUUUUUUGGCUAUCACUUGAAUGGAACAGAGGAAGGGAUAUGACAACUCCUAAUCCUGGGAAGGCAUCUUGUUCAUCACCCUCUGAAAGCUCCCUUUAUACUCUUGAGUAUUAUUUCAGUGUAUGACUGUACCAGAGUUUGUUCAGCCAUUCAUUCAUCAAAAGAUGAUUG